GCUUUUCAAAUCAACUGGAGAAACUCAGCUGAAAUUUGCAAGUGGAUAACACUUUUAGGGUUGGAUGCUUGUGCAUCUCACAAUUCAAAGUCGAGAUUUUUUCUAAGCUUGUAGUCAGUUAGAAUUCCAUUCUUCCCUGUUCAUGGUAUGCAGGUUCUGAAUCUCAACUGAAAGUUCGCCAAUCCCUUUUUCGAGGUUCAAAUCCUGAAAAGCUUUAAAAUCCAGCUAGGAAAAUUCUGGAUCUCAUUUCGAAGUCGAAACAUCUAAAAGCUUUAAACCAAAUGUUUGAUUUACUAACUAUUUUCUUCCAUCAAGUGCUUCCCCUGGUUUCUGACAAUUUGUUGAUCAAAGUCAAAUUUGGCCUUAGUGGAUAUAAAAACUUAAAAAGGUGAUCUCGAGGUCGUCAGAAUACACCACCAAACUUAGCAAGAUAUAGGAUAAUACCACUAGGUCCACUACUGAUGAGUAAUCUUUUUUUUUUCGAAAGACCCGGACAGCUUCCUGCAUGUAUUAAUAAGGAGAAAGCAUUUUACAUGAAAACCAACAUAACCUGCCAAAUUGCAAGUCGGAGUCAACGCCCAACACCAUUGCAUUGCUUGACCAAAAAAUAUGUUCAGUCCUGUGCAGACUGAGCUAUGCAAUCUACAUAUAAUUUUUUCCAACCAUUACUCCGCCGUUUCACUCUUUCAGCUUGGUACGCUACUACCUGAGCUAUGCACCUUGGCGUCCGUCAACAAAGAGUUCUGAUUCCUUACUUCUGUUAGGUCAUGCUUGAUUUACCUUUCUGCUCAGUGUCUCUGCUUCUGUUCCUUCCUGCUGGACGCUAGCUGGUUGGAAAAGAGAUCUUUCUGGGAGCGUAAAAUUCACAUUGGCACAUACUGAUCUCUUCUUGUACAUCUCUCUGAUCAGUGGCUUACCAAUUUACCCAUAUUCAGGUGUCGCAGCUUGAUAUGCGGGUUCUCUCUUGUGCUGAUUGUCAACUUUCUGUCUAUUGAUUUCUCCAAGCAGUCCCUUUUCAUUUUCUUGGGCCUGUUUAGAACUUGAUAUAUCAAAGUAAUGAUGGGCUGAUCAUCAUCACAAAAUGGUUCCAUAACAUGGUUGCAGUGGCCAGUGGAUCUUAUCAUUAAUCCUGUUAGCUUGCUGGAAGGUAGAUCUGCAAGUCUUCAAGUCUGCUACCCUUGCAAAUAAAUCACUUGGAAUUUCUUGAAGAUCUUCCUCAGAAGUUUGGCUAAUGGCAACCAUAUUACAUUCUCUGGUUUUAUCAUGUGCUAAGAAGUUGCAAGAUAUCAUAGCAGAGGAGGCAAUUCUUAUUCUAGGGGUAAAAGGAGAGCUUAGAGAAUUGCUGAGAACAAUGAACCAGAUACAAUGCUUUCUUAAUGAUGCUGAGCAGAGAAGGACAGAAGGUUGGCAGUUAACAAUUGGCUCGCUGAGCUGAAAGAUUCUAUAUAUGAAGCUGAUGAUAUUAUUGACAUGGCCAAAAUUGAGGGAAGCAAGCUGCUAGCAAACUAUCCUUCAUCAACAUCCUCGUCAUCAAGAGACUCGAUUGGGUGUACAGGAUUCUCGGUUUUCUCUUGCAUUCCUACUAUUCAGAGACGCCGUCGGAUUGCAAUUCGAAUAAAAAGUUUCAAUGCAGAACUUGAGAAGAUUGCAAAGCUAGGUGAAAGAUUUUUAAAGCUUCAGAAUGUGCAGACUAAAGAGGAUGUUUCAGCAGUGAGGAAGAUGAAAACUUGCCAAAUUUUGGAGCCUAACCUUGUGGGGAAGGAAACAUCACGUGCCAGCAAAAGAAUUUUGGAACUGGUGCUUGCACACAAGAAAAAGAAAACUUUUAAGUUUGGUAUUCUUGGAACCGGAGGCGUUGGUAAAACAACUUUGGCUCAAAAAAUCUAUAAUGAUGAAAAGAUAAAAGGAACCUUUCGGAAACAAGCAUGGAUUUGUGUUUCUCAGGAGUAUUCUGAAGUUGCUUUAUUAAAGGAAGUUCUUGGAAACAUCGGGGUAAAUUAUGAUCAAGAUGAAACUGUGGGUGAACAUUUGGCGGUAUUCUGAAGUUGCUUUAUUAAAGAAAGCUUGCAAUGGAAAUUGAAAACAAAAGUUUAUUUCUUGUGUUGGAUGACAUUUGGCAGCAUGGUGUGUGGAAUAAUCUACUUAGAAUCC